rnacentral:rRNA from 1 species
ACGGCUCAGUAACACGUGCCCAACCUACCCUCGGGAGGGGGACACCCCCGGGAAACUGGGGCCAAUCCCCCAUAGGGGAAGGGCGCUGGAAGGCCCCCUCCCCGAAAGGACGGCGGCCGAUCCGCCGCCGCCCGCCCGAGGAUGGGGGCACGGCCCAUCAGGUAGUUGGCGGGCUAAAGGCCCGCCAAGCCGAAGGCGGGUAGGGGCGGUGAGAGCCGCGAGCCCCGAGAUCGGCACUGAGACAAGGGCCGAGGCCCUACGGGGUGCAGCAGGCGCGAAUACUCCGCAAUGCGGGCAACCGCGACGGGGCUACCCCGAGUGCCGGGCGAAGAGCCCGGCUUUUGCCCGGUCUAAAAAGCCGGGAGAAUAAGCGGGGGGCAAGUCUGGUGUCAGCCGCCGCGGUAAUACCAGCUCCGCGAGUGGUCGGGGUGUUUACUGGGCUUAAAGCGCCCGUAGCCGGCCCGGCAAGUCGCUCCUGAAAUCCCAGGGCUCAACCCUGGGGCGGGGGGCGAUACUGCCGGGCUAGGGGGCGGAAGAGGCCGCCGGUACUCCGGGGGUAGGGGCGAAAUCCGUUAAUCCCCGGAGGACCACCAGUGGCGAAAGCGGGCGGCCAGAACGCGCCCGACGGUGAGGGGCGAAAGCCG